UACGGAGGGCGCAAGCGUUGUUCGGAUUCAUUGGGCGUAAAGGGUGCGUAGGCGGCUCGGUAAGUCGGGUGUGAAAUCUCGGAGCUUAACUCCGAAACUGCAUUCGAUACUGCCGUGCUUGAGUACUGGAGAGGAGACUGGAAUUUACGGUGUAGCGGUGAAAUGCGUAGAUAUCGUAAGGAAGACCAGUGGCGAAGGCGGGUCUCUGGACAGUUCCUGACGCUGAGGCACGAAGGUCAGGGGAGCAAACGGG
rnacentral:rRNA from 1 species